rnacentral:rRNA from 1 species
ACACUCUACGGGAGGCAGCAGUGGGGAAUUUUGGACAAUGGGCGAAAGCCUGAUCCAGCAAUGCCGCGUGUGUGAAGAAGGCCUUCGGGUUGUAAAGCACUUUUGUCCGGAAAGAAAUCCUUGGCUCUAAUACAGUCGGGGGAUGACGGUACCGGAAGAAUAAGCACCGGCUAACUACGUGCCAGCAGCCGCGGUAAUACGUAGGGUGCGAGCGUUAAUCGGAAUUACUGGGCGUAAAGCGUGCGCAGGCGGUUUGCUAAGACCGAUGUGAAAUCCCCGGGCUCAACCUGGGAACUGCAUUGGUGACUGGCAGGCUAGAGUAUGGCAGAGGGGGGUAGAAUUCCACGUGUAGCAGUGAAAUGCGUAGAGAUGUGGAGGAAUACCGAUGGCGAAGGCAGCCCCCUGGGCCAAUACUGACGCUCAUGCACGAAAGCGUGGGGAGCAAACAGGAUUAGAAACCCGAGUAGUCCCAUGA